rnacentral:rRNA from 1 species
GACGAACGCUGGCGGCGUGCUUAACACAUGCAAGUCGAACGGAAAGGCCCUGCUUUUGUGGGGUGCUCGAGUGGCGAACGGGUGAGUAACACGUGAGUAACCUGCCCUUGACUUUGGGAUAACUUCAGGAAACUGGGGCUAAUACCGGAUAGGAGCUCCUGCUGCAUGGUGGGGGUUGGAAAGUUUCGGCGGUUGGGGAUGGACUCGCGGCUUAUCAGCUUGUUGGUGGGGUAGUGGCUUACCAAGGCUUUGACGGGUAGCCGGCCUGAGAGGGUGACCGGCCACAAUGGGACUGAGGUACGGGCCAGGCUCCUUCGGGGGGCAACCGGGGGGAAUAUUGGACAAUGGGCCGAAGGCUGGUGCAACAACGCCGCGUGGGGGAAGACGGCCUUCGGGUUGUAAACCGCUUUCGCCUGUGACGGAGCGUGAGUGACGGUAAUGGGUAAAGAAGCACCGGCUAACUACGUG